CUAUCUCUCUUUGCAGCUGCCCUCUCUGCAAGCUUUAGCCCACCAGAGAGUGACAACUGUCAGGUCUGCACAGUGAACAAAGUGUCGAUACGCUGUUUGAUGUGCAAACAGGGGCUAUUCUGUGGCCCAUGUGACCAGGAAAGACAUGUAGAUGCUCCAUUUCAUGACCGUGACAUCUUAAUAGAUGGUCACUAUGAAGCACUGCCAAAUUUUGUCUCAAAAAGUGCUCUUGGAGAGUGGAUAGAUGUCAGUAAGCAUUUCUAUCACACACAUUUUAUUGUUAAUACUAUUUUUAUCUCAAGGCUAUUGAAGAUAUUGUUGAGGAAUGGUGCAGCAAAAACAAAAAGCCAAAGCAAUGCUGGACAGACAGACAGCAGCAGCUACAUGAAAGCUGGGCAGAGGAAAGACCAUCUCUCUUUGCAGCUGCCCUCUCUGCAAGGUUUAGCCCACCAGAGAGUGACAUAUGUCAGGUCUGCACAGUGAACAGUGUCGAUACGCUGUUUGAUGUGCAAAGAGGGGCUAUUAUGUGGCCCAUGUGACCAGGAAAGACAUGCAGAUGCUCCAUUUCAUGACCAUGACAUCUAAUAGAUGGUCACUAUGAAGCAUUGCCAAAUUUUGUCUCAAAAAGUGCUCUUGGAGAGUGGAUAGAUGUCAUACAAGCUUUGCCACCAAACUCCCCUAUCCACUGCCCUGGUUGUCAAGGCAUCUGUGACACAAGUGCACCCCUUCCUGGCACUCAUCUUAUAGUGGUUAACUUAAAUGGUAUGUACACAUAGCUUUAACAAUUUGCUUUUUAAAGGCCCAUCCUUUAAAGGUCUCAAUCCUUGACAUCCUUUACAUCU